UGCGUAGGCGGUCUUAUAAGUAUGGUGUGAAAUCUCCCGGCUUAACUGGGAGGGUGCGCUAUAGACUGUGGGACUAGAGUGUGGGAGAGGAAAGUGGAAUUCCUGGUGUAGCGGUGAAAUGCGUAGAUAUCAGGAGGAACACCGGCGGUGUAAACGGCUUUCUGGACCAUAACUGACGCUGAGGCACGAAAGCGUGGGUAGCAAACAGGAUUAGAUACCCUGGUAGUCCACGCCCUAAACGACGCAUAUUUGGUGUGGGCCAUUCAGUUGGUCCGUGCCGGAGCUAACGCGUUAAAUAUGCCGCCUAGGGAGUACAGUCGCAAGGCUGAA
rnacentral:rRNA from 1 species